CCAGCACUUUGGGAGGGCGAGGCAGGAAGAUCACUUCAGGUCAGGAGUUUGAGACCAGCCUGGCCAACAUGGUGAAACCCCGUCUCUACUAAAAAUACAAAAAUUAGCCAGGUGUGUUGGUGGACACCUGUAAUCCCAGCUACUCAGGGGGCUGAGGCAGGAGAAUCGCUUGAUCCUGAGAGGCAGAAGUUGCAGUGAGCCAAGAUCGCGCCACUGUACUCCAGCCUGGGUGACAGAGCAAGACUCUGUCUCAAGAACAAAACAAAAUGAAAAACAAC
rnacentral:lncRNA from 1 species